rnacentral:rRNA from 1 species
UACGUAGGGACCGAGCGUUGUCCGGAAUCAUUGGGCGUAAAGAGCGUGUAGGCGGCCCUUUACGUCCUGCGUGAAAUCCUGCGGCUCAACCGCAGACGGUCGUGGGAAACUGGAGGGCUAGAGUGCGGGAGAGGAGAGUGGAAUUCCCAGUGUAGCGGUGAAAUGCGCAGAUAUUGGGAAGAACACCCGUGGCGAAGGCGGCUCUCUGGAACGCAACUGACGCUGAGACGCGAAAGCGUGGGGAGCAAACAGG